UUUAGUUGUGCUCAGUUGUGCUUGGUUGUGCUCUUGCUCGCGGUGGAUGUGUUCGAUGUGUGAUAACGCUGCGUAAAUCGGUAUGAAAUGUCAACAAUAUGAACGAAGUUGGUCCAUCAUUAGUAACAACUUACACGUUCAAAAACGGUAAAGAGUACGUCGUCAAGAUAAAAAUUACCGCUUUUAAGGGAUGCCAGCGAAAUUUGGACCUGACUGUCACUGAUAAAUACACCGGCGAAAAUUGGCAAUCUUCCUACGAUGCUGCAUAUAUUGAAAACUUGACACACAAAACGGGGAA